AAUACCGGUUCUCAUACGAUUACAGAAGUUAAACAAUGUCGAGCCUGGUCUGUACCUGGACGGGUAACCGUUUGGGAAUGCCAAGUGUUGUAA